AGGCAGCCAGUUUGCAAAAUGUAAUUGCAUUCAUGGUGUUAAUGUGUCCGGAAAUUAAUCUCCUUUUGUUUUUCUGAUUCGCUGAGAAGAAACCCUCUUUUAGUGAAGCGAGUCAAGUAACGCAACAGGACAUU